GAGAAAAAGUCGUAUAAAAUGAGAGAGAAAAGGCGUUGUUGGAAAUCAGUUGAGAGAGCAUCUCCGACACGGCAACAACUGCUGUACACUAUUUGUGACCAAUUGCAUUCUUCAAUGCAGUUAGUUCGCAUUCAUGAUAAUCUAUGGCGUCCUGCUGUUGGGUGUUGAAUCGUUGAUGGUUGGGUCGACCACUGGUGUACCGAUGUCUCCUGGGUAUGGUGGAUAUCAAAGCACAACAUUACUCAACAUCAACCAACAUCGCUGCUGACGGUGCUCCAGCUUACUACACCAAGGCUCCAAAGUACUACACCACCAAUACUUCAGAGUGUUACAAGUUGCAUCAAAGAAGAGAAAAGGCGAAAUGAGUGAUUAUCUCCGACGCGUCAACAACUGCUGUGCACUAUUUGUCACUAAAUCGCAAUCGUGAUUGCGUCAAAGAAGAGAAAAGGCGAAAUAAUCAGUCGAGUGAUUAUCUCCGACACGACAACAACUUCCGUGCACUAUUUGUUAUCAACUGCCUUCUUCAUCGUCAUUUAUAUGGCAAACUGUGGCGUCGGUUGUCCUGAAAUACUACAUCACCGAGGCUUCAAAGUAUUACGCUACAACUUAUGCUCCCCCGAGCUGCAUAACCAAAGAGCCCGAGUACUGCAUCGUGAUUCCAUUCGUUUUAAGCCAUAACCAUUUGGUAUGACCCAUCCCCUAGCAACGUCAAAAUGCAGAAGGAAAGGCCAGUUUUCAUGUCUUUCACUUUUGAAGGUUACGCAGAUCAUUACGUAAAACUGUCAAUGCGGUGGUGUAGAGGUUGGGUGAGAAUGGGAAGUGUUUGCUUUAUUAUCAAGCAGGUAUAAUAGCCGCAGGGCUUAAGAGGUUAGGGUGAGAAAAAGUCGUAUAAAAGGAGAGAGAAAAGGCGUUUGAAAUCAGUUGAGUGAGCAUCUCCGACACGUCAACAACUGCUGUCCACUAUUUGUCACCAACUACCUUCUUCAUCGCAUUACCAGUUCGCAAACAUAGUUUAGAUAACUAUGGCGCCGUGCUGCUGUUUGGUGUUGGAUCGUUAAUGUUUGGGUCGACCACGGGUGUACAGAAGUCUCCUGGACAUGAUGGAUACCAAGCAACAGCAGCGAAAGAAUACUACACCACGCCUACGCCUUACUACGCAUCUACUUACUACGCCGAGGCCCCCAAGUGCUACACCUCCAAGGCUCAAGAGUUACGCAGAGUUGCAUUACCAAAGCGCCUGAGUACUACACCACCGAGGCUCCCAAGUACUACACCACCGAGGCUCCCAAGUACUACACCACCGAGUCUCCCAAGUACUACACCACCGAGUCUCCCAAGUACUACACCACCGAGUCUCCCAAGUACUACACCACCGAGUCUCCCAAGUACUGCACCACCGAGUCUCCCAAGUACUGCACCACCGAGGCUCCCAAGUACUGCACCACCGAGGCUCCCAAGUACUGCACCACCGAGGCUCCCAAGUACUGCACCACCGAGGCUCCCAAGUACUGCACCACCGAGGCUCCCAAGUACUGCACCACCGAGGCUCCCAAGUACUGCACCACCGAGGCUCCCAAGUACUGCACCACCGAGGCUCCCAAGUACUGCACCACCGAGGCUCCCAAGUAUUACACGACUACGAAUGCUGCCGCAGCCUACUACACCGAGGCUCAAGCUUAUUUCAAUACCAAAGCGGUCGAGUACUACACCGAACCGCACAAGUACUACUCUGCCCCGAACUACACAACCACAACUGAGGCGGCGGAGUACGUCGUAGUCCAGACUUGCAACACAGCAGCUGCUCCUUCGUACUAUGUUGAACUGAAAUAAUACUCCGAGGCUCCAGUUUACUACGCCGCAACCCACGCUACACCUAGAUACUAUGACGAAGCCCCCAACUACUACACCGAAGAGGCCACAUAUUACACAACAACGUACACUGCCCCAGUUUACUAAGCUGAGGAUCCGAAAAAUUACUUUGCUCCAAGCUACUACCAAUCUGAUACUCUUGUUUACUACACCGAGGCCACUGGGUAUUACACCACAAACAAAUGUUAACUAUGGUGUCUUGCUGCUGUUGGUUGUGUUAUCCUUGAUGGCUGGGUCGGCCACUGAUGUCUUUUGAGUAUGGUGGAUACCAAACCGCAACGCCGGCGUCUUACUACACAACAACAUACGCAACAACCGAAUACCACACCACCAAGGCCCCAGAGUAUUACACCGCAACUUAUGAUAUUCCGAACUACUACAUCGAAGCCUUAAAGUACUCUGCCGCGAGUUACACCACCAAGGCAUCGGGGUACCACCCGACUACGUAUGCUGCCCCAGUCUUUUACACCGAUGCUCCCAAGUACUUCUCCGUUCCCAGUUACUACACCAAGGCUCCAGCUUAUUACGCCACCAAAGCGGUCCACUGUAGCGCCCUAGUACUACUCUGCACCGAAUUACUACUCAGCGGCUGCUCCUUCGUACUACGUCGGACCGAAAUACUACACUGAGGCUCAAGUUUACUACACUACAAUCCACGCUGCCCUCGACUACCAUACCGAGGCUCCGCUCCCAUACCGAUGUUCCCAAGUACUACACAACUAAGGUACCCGAGUAUUAUAUCACUACUUAGGCUGCUCUGACCUGCUGCACCGAAGCUGCGAAGUAUUCCACCGCCCCGAGUUACUACACCAUCAAGGCACCCCUGGAUAUUACAUCACAACCUGCGCUUCUCCAGUUUACUACAGGGAUGCUCUUAAAUACUAGAGUCAAAAUUUCUGACUUAGUUAUUUGUAUUCAGAUUUGUGGUGUCAUAUCCUAAUAGUUACUAAAUGAGAAAAUAAAUUUGUUUAAUGGUA